rnacentral:sRNA from 1 species
UAGCACUAUAAAAAACAAGUGAAUAAUUUUCCUUUCAGUAAAAUGGACCUUUUAUAUCCUUAAUACCAAUAACGCCCACUUGCUAUUUAAGCUGCUUGUUAUAAUAUAUAGAAGUUAACACCCCUGUAUUCCGGCCACCCCAAAAAAGUAAUGCGAUUUACAACUCUACCUACGCGAUCCCUACUUAAUCAGGCACAUCUAGGACAGUAAUACUAUCCAAUAUUUUAUUAGGCGGCGCUUUUUCCGGUAAAUUAACUUCGUCCAGCAUUUCCACCCUUGCUUCCCUUUGUACACCUUAAACCCGCCGAAUAAUUACGAAGGUUUCGUUUGGAUCGGGAUGAACCUUCUUGUUUUUAGUAGGCCGUAAUACCUCGAUUUCCCGUUUUUAUAAGGUUAUACUGAGAUUCUUUCGGUCUUAUACUUUCCGGACUUUCGCAACUAAUAAUCUUUAACUAGAGUUUAUACUUCCAAGUGGUUAACCCGACCGGAGUUGGUCCUCCAUAUAAUAUUUGGGGUGUAAAAUUACCAAACCCUAGCCCUAACCCCUGACCAACGACCUACCAGGGUAAUAUUUUUAUUUAUAUCCCGCUUUUUAAAAUUUGGUCUUUUUUUAUUUUGAUAUAAGCUUUUUUUAAUAAAUACUAACAAAUUAAUAUCCGGGUUAAACUUAACCCGGCCGUGGUAAAUAUAUGUAUAUAUAUAUAUAUAUAUAUAUAUAUAUAUAUCAAAUAUUAAUAAAAGAUAAUUUAAUAACUUACUAUAAAAUUUUAAAUCGUUAAAUUAAAUAUAUUUUAUAUAAAGUUGCAUAAUAUUUGUAUUAUAAUUGUAAAACAAAUAUAUUUAUAUAUUUAUAUAUAUAAAGAAACUGGGAUAUAAAUUAAUUGUUGUAAACGUUAUUUUCUAUUCAAUUUAUUUAAACAAAUAUAUUUAUUUGGUUGGGUUUAUAUAAUCGAACAAAUUUCCGUAUAAUAUCAAUUUAAUUUUAGGAAAAGAAAAUGAAAAAAUAUUAUACGCGUUACAAAAUUAUAUUUAAAUAAAAAAACGCGUUAAAUUAAAUAAAUAAAUUUUAUAAUUUUGACAAAACGCGGAAAUAAAACCGCUGUUAAUAAUUUAGCUGUUUUCGGCCCGAUUUAAAUUUAAUAUAGUUAAAUAUUUUAUUAAAGGUUGGAAUGCACGCCUUUGUGGCUAAUUGCGGUGGUUUAAUACGCGAUAUUAAUUUUUAUCGCUUUUGAAUAAAGAAGAAUUAUAUAUAAUUUUUGAAAAGAGGUUAAAACAAAUAUUAUAUAAAAGUAUUAGUAAAUUAAUUUCACAUUACUUUUACCUGUAAUAACUAACACCCAUAAUAUUAAUUUAAUUACGGGAAUAAAAGUAAAGUACAUAUAUAAAAUAAUGUUUACUAUUACCGAUUCUAAUAAAUCUGUAAAUUAAAUCUUCGUUAUAAUAAUUAAUAAAUAAAACGUUAUUAUAAGAUAAAUAUAUGUAUAUUAUAUUAAUUAUUUUACAAUCUUAAAGUCGAAUUCCAAACGUUUUUUUUUCGUUUUAUAUUACUUGUUGGAUAAGUAAAUUAUAUAUAUUUGGUCGAUAUAAUUGUUCCCGCAGUUUAUUAUUUAUUUUAUAAAUUCAAUAUAUAAUUUGUUUUUUCACAAAGUUAAUAUUAAAAUUCCCCUCCAUAUAUAAAAUAAUUAAAUAAUUAAUAUAUUUUAUUAUAAAAGGAAUAUUACGCGGAAUAUUUUUCUCAUGAUAUUUCUGGUUAUUUAUUUUAAUAUUUAUUUGGCAGGGAUAGUAAUUGGCCGUAAUACCGAGGUUUAAAUCGCGAUAGGACCCAAGGUAAAAAUGCGGUUUAAAAAUAUAUAAGUAUAACCACAAUACUUAUAUUUUACUGGAAGAUAUUAAUACAAUUGCAGUUUACGUCGGGGUGGUUUAAAUACUCUAAGUUUGAAAGAUUAAAGCGAUAGCGAAAGUGAAAUUUCAAAUACGGUGAAGAAAUAAUCUGGUUAUUUACUUUUCGAGCUGUUAAAUUUGUUGGACGGUAUAACGUCCAGGGUAAAUAUAGCACGGAAACUA